CGUGUUCAGCGCUGGUGAGCCAGGCCCACAUGACAGGAGCAACCAGGGUGGCCCAAGAGGAAGACCAGGACCGACCAGGGAUGAAGCUGGGAUGUAGCAUUUGGGAGCUCAAGUAGCUCCACGGACAGGUCUGGGUCCUUUGCUUCAGCUCAGGUGCAUUCAUUUGGGACUUUUGCAGGGCGAGAACAUAGCGGUGGUUUGAUAUUUGCUAAAAAAAGAGAGGUGUCGGCUGAGUGUCUUAAGAUAUUUAUCCUGGACAGGCACAGUGGCUCACGCCUAUAAUCAGCAUUUUGGGAGGCUGAGGCAGGCAGAUCACCUGAGUUUGGGAGUUUGAGACCCGCCUGACCAACAUGGAGAAACCCCAUCUCUACUAAAAAUACAAUUAGCCUGGCGUGCUGGUGCAUACCUGUAUUCCCAGCUAUUCGGGAAGCUGAGGCAGAAGAAUCGCUUGAACCUAUGAGGCGGAGGUUGUGGUGAGCCAAGAUCACACCAUCACACUCAAGCCUGGGCAACAAGAACGAAACUCCGUCUCAAGAGCCAAAAAAGAUAUUUAUCCUAAGGAACAUUCCCAAGAGGGGGCAAACAGGAGAUGCUAGGAAUUAAGGGCAUUUAGACUUGGACACACAAACCAAAACCCCUCAUUUUCACUGCACCGAAUGCAGAGAGACAAAAGCAGUAGCAGGAGGGAGCUGCCACCCAAGAACAAGGGGAAAAGCUUGUCCUCAAAGUGCUAAAUCAGCAAGUCCAUAUGUGAUAUAAGAGGCUCGUCGUCUGGUCUCACCAAGACUGUUGAAAUGUGUUUGAAAACACUCAAGAGGCAGGAAAGGGGACCCAAGAAUCGUCACCGGAAAGUGGACUUAGAUUGUGACUGCAAUCAGCCACUUGGUCCUAAACCCUUGGAGUCAUCCUUGAGUCUGUGCUUGCGCUCAUAUCCCACAUCCAGUUCAUCAGGAAAGACCAUUGGCUCUAUCUUCAAGAUAUGUCUGGCAUCCUACUGUGUUACACCUUCUCCACGGCCACGACCCUGGACAAAAUCAUCAUCGUAAGAAUUCCUAUGUAUUGCAAGUUUUGAAACGUCUUAUUUUCCUUCUGCCUCAACAUCCCCAUGAAUAGACUGAGAGCAUUCCACCCAAGCAACCAGGUGAGCCUAU
rnacentral:lncRNA from 13 species